UCGCCGUGAUGAUGUCUUUUCCUGCCAUUCGUAGUUUCCACCAGAGGUCGAGAGACCAAAGAUGGUUCAAACCUUCCUUGGAUGUCUGAGCGA
ensembl:snoRNA SNORD14 Small nucleolar RNA SNORD14